CCUACGGGAGGCAGCAGUGAGGAAUAUUGGUCAAUGGACGGGAGUCUGAACCAGCCAAGUAGCGUGAAGGAUGACUGCCCUAUGGGUUGUAAACUUCUUUUAUAUGGGAAUAAAAUGUUCCACGUGUGGGCUUUUGUAUGUACCUUAUGAAUAAGGAUCGGCUAACUCCGUGCCAGCAGCCGCGGUAAUACGGAGGAUCCGAGCGUUAUCCGGAUUUAUUGGGUUUAAAGGGAGCGUAGGUGGAUUGUUAAGUCAGUUGUGAAAGGUGGCGGCUCAACCGUAACAUUGCAGUUGAAACUGGCAGUCUUGAGUACGGGAGAGGUAGGCGGAAUGCGUGGUGUAGCGGUGAAAUGCAUAGAUAUCGCGAAGAACUCCGAUUGCGAAGGCAGCUCACGGGACUGCAACUGACACUGAGGCUCGAAAGUGUGGGUAUCGAACAGGAUUAGAUACCCCGGUAGUC
rnacentral:rRNA from 1 species